rnacentral:rRNA from 1 species
CGAUAGGUCGCAGUGACUAGGGAAGCUCGACUGUUUACUAAAAACAUAGCCGGCUGCUAGUCCGAAAGGAUUUGUACAGCCGGCGACUCUUGCCCAGUGCCAGCACCUGAACACUCCGUACAAGGAGACGAAGGGCUGGUAAACGGCGGCAGUAACUAUGACUGUCUUAAGGUAGCGUAGUCCCUUGCCAAUUAAUUGUUGGCCCGCAUCAAUAGAGGAACGAGGUUUCCACUGUCCCGAGUCGUGGCCCGGUGAACCCGCCGUACCGGCGCACAGGCCGGUGACUCCCGGUGGGAAGCGAAGACCCUGUGAACCUUUACUGCAGUCUGUUGUUGCUGCGGGGGUCCGAGUGUGAAGUGUAGUUAGGAGACGUUACAGAGGUGCGUGCGCUAGCAUGUCGCCCAGUCGAUCAUGGGACACUAACCUCUUGGAACCCUGCGGCUUACCUCUACGGAGGGACAGCAGCAGCUGGGCAGUUUAACUGGGGCGGUAUCCAUAUGAUAACGAAUCAUAUGGGUCCAAAGGUAGGCUCAACUCGGUCAGAAAUCGAGUGUUGAGUACAAGGCCAAAAGCCUGCCUGACUGGUCCCUCAUCAGUACGAGGACCAGGCGCGAAAGCGUGGCCUAGCGAACCUCUGUGGCCAAGUAGUGAGGCCCAGGUAUGACAGAAAAGGUACUCCAGGGAUAACUGGAUUGUCUGGGGCGCGAGCUCACAUCGACCCCCAGGCUUGUUACUUCGAUGUCGGCUCUCCGUAUCCUGGCUGUGCAACAGCAGCCAAGGGUGAGGGUGUUCACCUAUUAAAACGGAUCGUGAGCUGGGUUUAGAUCGUCGUGAGACAGAUCUGUUGCUAUCUGCUAGAAGUGUUUUCGUGGUCUGAGAGGAAAGUCCGGACAGUACGAAAGGAACCCCGGACUGGAGCCUCUGGUGUAUCUGUUAUCCGAGAGGGUAGUGCAGAGUAGCCACGCUCCACAGGUGUAAGAGCUGAAAGCAUCUAAGCUCGAAAGCUUCCUCAAAAAGAGACCGCGUCCACUCCCGUAGAAGACGGGUUUGAUAGAGUGGCGGUGUAAGAAUCAAGGCAACGAGAUUCUCAGCCGACCACUACUAA